GUUGAGGGGAAUGUUGUCUGGUUGGAGACCUAGCUAGCAGCUAGCACGGAUCAUCCAUAGAUCGAUUCGACGCUGCAUAUGCGCGCGGUUUCGGACCAGGCUUCAUUCCCCCCAAC
rnacentral:pre_miRNA from 1 species